CGGGACGGGGUGGAGUAAUGUCUGGGAAACUGCCUGAUGGAGGGGGGUAACUACUGGAAACGGUAGCUAAUACCGCAUAACGUCGCAAGACCAAAGAGGGGGACCUUCGGGCCUCUUGCCAUCGGAUGUGCCCAGAUGGGAUUAGCUAGUGGGUGGGGUAACGGCUCACCUAGGCGACGAUCCCUAGCUGGUCUGAGAGGAUGACCAGCCACACUGGAACUGAGACACGGUCCAG
rnacentral:rRNA from 1 species